UACGGGGGGGGCAAGCGUUGUUCGGAAUUACUGGGCGUAAAGGGUGCGUAGGCGGUGCUCUAAGUCGGAUGUGAAAACUCUGGGCUCAACCCAGAGCCUGCAUCCGAAACUGGAGUGCUAGAGUUCUGGAGGGGGUAGCGGAAUUCCUGGUGUAGCGGUGGAAAUGCGUAGAUAUCAGGAGGAACACCGGUGGCGAAGGCGGUCUGCUGGGCAGUUGCUGACGCUGAUGCGCGACAGCGUGGGGAGCAAACGAGGAUAGAAACC
rnacentral:rRNA from 1 species